UAUAUACUACCUCCGUCCGAAAAUACUUGUCCUAGAGAUGAAUGUAUCUAGACUUAUUUUAAUUAUAGAUACUUUCAUUAUAUGUAUUUUUAGGACAAUUACUUUUGGACGGAGGGAGUAUUAC
rfam:Hordeum vulgare subsp. vulgare, WGS project CAJW01000000 data, contig: morex_contig_54830